rnacentral:rRNA from 1 species
GAUGAACGCUGGCGGCGUGCCUAAUACAUGCAAGUCGAGCGAACAGACGAGGAGCUUGCUCCUCUGACGUUAGCGGCGGACGGGUGAGUAACACGUGGAUAACCUACCUAUAAGACGGGGAUAACUUCGGGAAACGGGAGCUAAUACCGGAUAAUAUAUUGACCAGCAUGGUUCAAUAUUGAAAGACGGUUUUGCUGUCACUUAUAGAUGGAUCCGCGCCGCAUUAGCUAGUUGGUAAGGUAACGGCUUACCAAGGCAACGAUGCGUAGCCGACCUGAGAGGGUGAUCGGCCACACUGGAACUGAGACACGGUCCAGACUCCUACGGGAGGCAGCAGUAGGGAAUCUUCCGCAAUGGGCGAAAGCCUGACGGAGCAACGCCGCGUGAGUGAUGAAGGUCUUCGGAUCGUAAAACUCUGUUAUUAGGGAAGAACAAAUGUGUAAGUAACUAUGCACGUCUUGACGGUACCUAAUCAGAAAGCCACGGCUAACUACGUG